AAUAUUUGUACGAGCAAUUAUCCACCAUGGAAACAAACCACAGUUGCUUCACUGUUGGUGUUCCAUUGAUCUGACCCAGUACAGUAACAAUGGGGGUCAAGGCUAAGAACUAGGUCACUAUCGGUGGGACCAACCAAGUUGUACAAUUGCAGGUUACAAAGUUUAGAUUCCUAACUGAAAGAUUGUUAAGUACAAACACUAUUUUUGAAGAAGAUAGGUAUCUUGUGUUGGGUUGUCCUCUAAAUGUUUAUGUACAUUUGGCUCCCCAAUGUCUACGUGCAUCUUCCCCAAAUGCAUUCAUGCUUGCACGAAUAUGUCUCGAGAUUCAAGCUUUUGAAUAUUCAUUGUCUAUUUGAGGUGCAUUUGGACAGAGUCACAGAGGAUAAGAAUACAUUUUACUUGGCCUGGUUCCAUAACCUAGAAAGAUUAAAUAAGGGUUGAAUAGGUAGGUGGUUCUAUGAAUUAUCUAGUUUUUUUUUUUGGGUAAACGAAUUAUCUAGUUGAUGUCUUGGUGACACAAGAAUGAUAUAUAGUUGAACUAUUAUUAAUUUGCAUGUACCACGGAUUGCAUAAUCCACAGAAUUGUAAAUCCGGUGGCUCAUCAAUGAGUUGCCCUGUUUUUGUGAAGUGGACUUGACACCUUGUAGGCCAAGGGCGCAAUAUAAGGAAGGAAGCAAUUAUAUGGGUAUCUGUUGACAGCUGGUCUCUUAAACUUGUGAAACAAGCAUUUAUGAUUUCCUGAAUUAUCAAUGCAAGUUGGGUUUUGAAACCCAUGAUUGUCAAAACCAUGGGAAAAAGAGAAGAAA